rnacentral:tRNA from 3 species
GGGCCAUUAGCUCAACUGGCAGAGCAGCGGACUUUUAAUCCGCGGGUUCUGGGUUCGAUCCCCAGGUGGCCCACCA